UGGGGAAUAUUGGACAAUGGGCGCAAGCCUGAUCCAGCCAUGCCGCGUGAGUGAUGAAGGCCCUAGGGUUGUAAAGCUCUUUCACCGGUGAAGAUAAUGACGGUAACCGGAGAAGAAGCCCCGGCUAACUUCGUGCCAGCAGCCGCGGUAAUACGAAGGGGGCUAGCGUUGUUCGGAUUUACUGGGCGUAAAGCGCACGUAGGCGGACUUUUAAGUCAGGGGUGAAAUCACGGGGCUCAACCCCGGAACUGCCUUUGAUACUGGAAGUCUUGAGUAUGGUAGAGGUGAGUGGAAUUCCGAGUGUAGAGGUGAAAUUCGUAGAUAUUCGGAGGAACACCAGUGGCGAAGGCGGCUCACUGGACCAUUACUGACGCUGAGGUGCGAAAGAGUGGGGAGCAAAAAGG
rnacentral:rRNA from 1 species